UCUACAUACAUACAUCAUUAAAAAGAUAAGUCAUAGAGGAAAAAAAAACAACUUACGUGGAGUAAACAAUCUGUGUGCUAAACUUAGUACUUACCUUUCAAAUUUUUUCUUCAAUGGAAAAAAAUAGAAACCAUCGUAAACUCAAACAUAUAACAGAGGUGUUAGGGUUCGAACUUCAAUCAUGACGUAUAAUCUGAUAAUUUUAACAUAGUUAUCUACGAAUCAUAAAACCACACCAAUAGCUACUAGUUAACUACAUAAUAUUGUUUCAGUAAAGAAGAAAGUAUAAAAUUGUGUAACAAAUCAAAUAUUUUCUUCCAUAAUCAUAUAGGAUAACAUUACAAAAGUAUACAAACUGGAAUUUUUUUUUUAGCUAUCUAUGACUACAUCACAUUAAAUUUUAAUAACUUGGAAGGUUCAUAUGAGCCUUCAAAUAAUUUCAGAACAAUCCUAAUUAAUCUAAUCUAAACACUAUAACUGCACAAACAAAUCAAGCUUGUUCAAUCAUUUGAAACUAACCAUACUUGUAGAGUAAGAUGAAUUAUAAUAAGGUGUUGAUCUUCCACUUUGCAUACCAUUCAAAAGAGAAGAUUGAAAAGAUUCAUGACCAAGUGGAACAGGCCUAUCAGGUAAAUUAGGUAUAUCAAUAUCACCUUCUAACAUCUUAAUUGCCUCAGCAAUUGUAGGUCUUAAUGCAACCAUUGCAUGAGCACAAAGAAUUCCAACAAGCACAAAUCUUUCCAUGAUUUUCUCUGGCCCUUCAUCUUUAACUGCUUGAUCAAAUAUUUCAUGAAUUUUUCCUGUUUUUGCAAGUGUCCAAGCCCAAUCAGUGAUCAAAACAACUGGUGAAUUCAUUGUAUCAAGCACUUUUCUACCACUCAUUAUCUCAAGUAUCACAAUGCCAAAACUAUAAACAUCACUUUUCUCAGUUAGUUGUCCAUAUAAAGCAUACUCAGGUGCUAAAUAACCAUAUGUACCAGCUACUCUUGUUGUGAGAUGAGAUUGUCCUUCAUUUCCUUGUUUUGCCAAACCAAAAUCAGCAACUUUCGCUUUCAUUUUCGAAUCCAAAAGUAUAUUCGUCGCCUUAAUAUCGCGAUGAAAAAUCGGAGGUUUGAUUUCAUAAUGCAAAUAAGCUAGCCCUUUAGCCACAUCAAGUAUAAUAUUCUUCCUUUGUGGCCAAGUAAGCUUAUUAGCACCAUUAACUGAUAAUUGGUAACUUAAACUUCCAUUAGGCAUAUAAUCAUAAACCAAAAACCUUCUCUUACCUUUUACAUUAUGACUUGCAACACAACAACCUCUUAAAGCAAGAAGAUUCCUAUGCUUGAUUUUGCUUAUAAUCUCAACUUCAUAGAUAAAUUCUUCAUCCCCUCUAGUAUCCAAAUCAAAAAUUUCUUUCACUGCAACCAAAGUUCCAUCUGAAAGUGUUCCUUUGAACACAACACCAUCACCACCUUGACCAAUCAUAUUCUUCUGUGAAAACUUGUUUGUAGCCUUUUCAAGCUCUGAUAUAUGAAACCAUUUAGCUCCUGUAUUAGGUAAAACACUGUCUCUAACACUGUUUUCAAUUGACCUGUGAUAAAUAUUCUCCUUCCUCAUCUUAUCCCAUUUCCUAUACAUAAUUAUAAGCACAAAAGCUAGAACAACACCAACAAGAGCACCUAUUAAACCAAAAACAAGUUUCAAAAUUUUUCCAUUAUUUGAUGACCCUUUUGAUGAAAGUGGCAUACCAAGUAUACAACCAGCUGUUUCAGGAUGUGUAGGACCAAAUUUAUUAACAACACCAAUAGCAUAUAAAAUUGAAAAAUAAAAACACUUGGUUGAAUUUUUUGGAGCAAUAGUACUAAGCUGAGUAGUAACUUUGAAACCAGCAUCAGUACAAAUACCACAGCUAGUUUCAGAACUCAAAUCACCAUUACAAGCAGUGUCUAAAGGACUUAAGAUACCAACCUUUUCUCUCCAAUCUGUGAGGUUUGUGAUACCUGCACAGUAUGAUGUGUUUGUGACAAAUUGUGUUGAGUUUUGGAAACAAGAAGGGACUAAUUCAGGUUGAAUUCUUAAGGAAGAAAGCUUGAGUUGGAAGUCUUGUAAACAUGUUGUGGAAGUGUUUUCAUCUGGGAGCUGAAAUAUUGAAGUUUCUUUGAGAUGUUUUGCAAGUCCUAUACCAAAGAGACUAAGAAGUGAUUGGCAACAGUGUUGUGAGUCAAUUGGAUCUCUGCAUGAUGAUGAGUCCCAUGGAAAGGUCUCAACAUAGCUGAGAUCCAUAGGGCAUGAUGCUGCAGAAGCAGAAGGAGUAGCUAUGAAAAUGGUGAAGAGGAGAAGAAGAAACAUUGGUUUGUUAUUCAUCUUUUGGAUUUGUGUUGAAGACACAAACAUAGUGGAUUGAUUUUUUUGAAAGCAUUUGAGGCUUAUAAUAGACAUGUUUUUGAGAGAUGAGUUUGUUUUACUAGUCAACCUCGGCAUACUAUGGUCAAAAGACAUGUUUUAUAGUAUAUUAAUAUUUCAUUAUAAUAAGAUAAUGAAAUGAGCAUGUGGGCAUUCACGGACAAAGUGAUGUGGUUUCUUUUGUUGGUCUUAGUCAAAAUGUUUGUAUGAAUUUUGGUUAACAAAUAAUAUAGGUUGUUAAGGGAACCUUCCUAUUGAGUUUCAGGGUAAUUAGUUAAAGUGAUGCAAUUUUAACAACUGGAUUUUGAUGCCCUAUAAAAUAUACAUUGCAUUUCAUUGGAAGAGAGACAAGAAAAUAAUAAAAAAG
rnacentral:lncRNA from 1 species